AAUGAUUUCUUAUAUUCUAUAUAGCUAAACAGGUAAAGGUGUUGUAUAAAACAGUUUAAGAACUUUAGAUUUGCUCAGAUGUAGCAGUUAUGUCUUGGUUUAGACAGACUUUAAUUCUUUAACAUGUCCAACAACUCACUAACUACAUUUAUACAAAAAAAAAAAAAAAACAACCCCAAACAAACAAAUAAAUUAAUUUAAAAAAAACUCCAAACACUAGCAAGCAACAUGAAAUUGCCGCCAGGAUCUCUCAUUGGCUGAAAUACUAAUAACCAGCCGAUAGAAAUUGAAUUUUUACAAUACCUAUGAAAUAUACCUACUUUCACCUUGGCUAUUUUCAAAAUACCCGAGACCUCCCUUCACCCAUUGUACGAAAUAGGGAUAUUUAAUUAAGUUCAUUUAAAUUCAAACACCCAAAAACACUGGAGUUAGUAGCGCUGCGCAUGAAUGAAUGCGAACAUGAAUGAAUGAAUGAAUAAGAUAUUUUAAUUAAAUCAACUCUGAAAUACGAUGUAAAAUAAUACAACAAAAUCCAACUAUCAUAAUUACAUAUUAAUCACCGAGGAAGAAUAUAAUUCAAACACUUUUGUUGGGGAGUACAUUACUAUCGGAGAUGUGAUCCGGUCGGGGUAAGCUAGAGAGACAUUUCCGUUGUAACAAUCAUAUUUAUGGUAUAUACGGACACAUUAAAGUAGGUUAUCUAAACAAACAAAAUUAUGGUGCACAUGCAGGUAUGAAUUUGAAAGUUCAUUUCAAGUUUAACUCUGCAAGGCGUAUAUAUUUUGUCUACAGAUGCCAACCGCUAAAAUUGCCCCUGUUGUGGUGACAAUAGAUUUUGGAAGGACUUAUUCUGGAUAUGCAUUUUCCUUCCGCUUCGAUUUUCUGAACGACAAAGAGAGACACAUCGGGGAAAUUAAUACAUUCACAUGGAUUUCCUGGGAUUUAGUGUCUGAAAAGACUCCGACGGCCCUGCUGCUUGACAAAGACCAAACUUUCGUCGGUUUUGGGUUUGACGCUGAAAACAGGUAUAGCAACAUGACGGAAGAUGAAAGGAAAGACGCUUAUUAUUUCCACCGGUUUAAAAUGAUGCUUUAUGAUAAAGACGGGGAAUUGAAACUAACCAGAAAUGCCACCCUGAAGGACAUGAAGAACAAGGAAAUGCUAGGCAUCGAUGUUUUCGCUCACUCCAUUAGAUAUCUUAAGGACCGCUUCGAGAAGAGGGAUUUGAAAAAGUAUUCCAUGUAUCAUCACGACAGUAUCACAAUUAAGUGGGUUCUAACAGUUCCUUCUAUAUGGGAUAAACCUGCUAAACAGUUCAUGUAAGAAGCUGCGGAAAAGGCUGGGAUUCCAAGAGCGUCUCUUCUUAUCUGCUUAGAACCAGAAGCUGCAGCCAUAGAGAAGGGCAACAACGAGUGUUUGGAUGCAAUGAAGCCGUGACGAAGGUUUAUAGUGUUGGAUGCUGGAGAAAUUGAAAUUAGCGACAGACUUUCAUCUCCAUUAUUAAGUCUGUCAAGGAUUAUACUUGCCAAUGGGCUAAAUGAAACGGUGAAUAUAACGAAAAGUGAUUAAUCUCAUGACUCCUGUAAGGAAUGCAAAAUAGACAAUUGUGAAAACACGGACCCUGGAUAUACCAGAGGCGGACUCAGGUGUCCCGGAGGAGUAUGCUGUCAAAGGGUCGCAUCCGCCUAGAGUCCUAUAUCUCGAUCAGGUAAACGGAGUAAUAUGAAGUCAAAAUCAGUGUGUAAAGAACGGUUUAAUAAUUGAUAUGAAUUACACCAGACAGCUUUUGACUGAAUGACAGGUUGUUUUUGCAAACUAAAUUGUUAUGACGACCAUAGAAUUUGCGAAUUGUUGAUGUUAAACGAGACUGUUGAAACCCUUGUAACAUCAACCUGUUUGGUAGUAGCCUACCUCGAUUUGAAAAAGAAAAAUUGUCUACACUGCUUGGUUGAUUUAUAUUUGUUUUUAUUUUAUAUGUUGUUACAAACGCCCAUGAAAUCAAAAUUCCUCGACUUCCUGUUAAGAGGGUAUGUACAUGAGAGAAAAUAUUGAUUUCUAUGUAUUGGUACAGGCAUCCGAGAACCCAGGCCAACCCAGAUAUUGUCGAUAGAUUAAGGUAGACCUUUAGCAUUGUAGCUUUCCAGCAUUCAAUAACAUAAAGGUGUUGACGUAUGCGAGCAUGGGGUUACGUAAACAACAUGCCAUUGAGGACUAUCAUUAAUCCUAAUGGUAGACCAAACGUAUAUAGUUUCGUUUCAUUCUGUAGUAGGAAGCAGGUUGAUGUUGAAUAACCUAAACUAGAUCAUUCUCUUUGUUGAAAGUUGAGCAAGGUAUGAAGAGCGACCAUUAGGGUAGAUACUGUAAAAUCUUCGAAGGUAAAGCAAAUCUGUAACUAUGAAAACAAGAAAUGUUCAUCCAACACAUCGUAACAGAGAUUCACAGGAAAUGAGACAACAUGCUGUAGUGGUAGGACUCGAACAAACCGGAUACAAUGUAAACAGUAUUUGUUAAAACAGAGUAAAGCAGAGCGCCAUUUUUAUCAAAGAAGGAAGUUAUGUAUGGUCUUGUAAAAGCAAGGAUAGCACUAUUGUGAGGAGACACCCUACCGAGGAGGAAGAGAGACAUAUGGCAGAGUAAUACAUUGUAGAUUGGUC